rnacentral:lncRNA from 1 species
CGGUCGUUCUGUGGAGCAUUCAUGAUCAUGUGUCUACUUUGGCAGCAGACCAGGGUGAUGCAAAGUCUCCUGGAUCUGGAGCAAGUAACCCGAAACCUUCUGCCGAUGGCCCUACUGUUCAAGCUCGAGGUAUUUUCCAAGGACAUGAUGAUACUGUUGAAGAUGUUCAGUUUUGCCCUUUCAGGUAGCUAUCACAUCUCCCACAUUGUAUAAGAUGUUUAAUUUAGUCCUUCAGUUUUUUUGUUAGGAGUUGUGAUACUUGAUGUUGCUUGGGUUAAAAAUCCUUCAUGUAACGUGAGCUUGACUGAAGAUGAGCUAAUACUCGUAUGAGCUGUCACGUCACAUGUCAGACUUCUUUUUCUUCUCAAUCAUGUCUUAGAAAUUUCAAUCUUAUGCCAUUCUAGUCCUCUAUUCCUCUUUUUUACCUGGAUGAAGUGGUUUACUUGCCACUUUUCAUAUAAAAGAUACAGGGAAAAAAUCGAAGAAGACAGAAGAAAGAAAAGCAAUUUAUUCAUAGCUUAUCCUGGCUUAACACAUCCUUACUGGAUUCUUCUUUUUGGAUAAAAGUGCACAGGAGUUUUGUAGUGUUGGAGAUGAUUCCUGCCUAAUACUGUGGGAUGCAAGAACUGGUUGGUCUCCUGUUGUCAAGGUUGUAUUCGUAUCUUUUACUCAAGCACUUGGUAACUUAUCUUGUUUUAUACCUUUUCUUUGUGGAUAUGCGGAGAACUUCACUUAUUUGUGUUGUGUAGUAAAUCUUGGCGAUAUUUGGUAAUUAAGCUUGAGUAUAGUAAAUCUUGGCGAUAUGUGGUGGUGAAUAGAGCAGGAUUUAAGGAGAAAUGGCGAUGCAUAAUUGUUAAUUAUGAGGGGUAGUGAUAAUUCAUAUACUUUUUUUGUAUAGCCCUUUCAGAAGAAAACCACAUAAUGCCAAAGCUAGGUACUUGUUGACUUCUGUAUUCUAUUCCGUCCAUCCAAUUUAAUAAUUAGUUUGACUUGGCACACUUAUUUAGGGAAGAGUUGGAAAUAGGAGUUUAGUAUUUGAUAGGAGAGCAUAUUGGCCUGUACAUUAGAUUUUAAUCUUUUCGGAGAAUAGAUUUGAGAAAAUGUUGUAUUGCAAAGACUAUAAUGGGUCCCAUGUAAUUUUCUUGGUAUAGAAAAUGUUUGCAACCCAUUAAGUUAUUGACUCUUCCACUUAUCAUCAGUCUUUCCAUUUAAUUAUGCUGAAAUGUCUCCCUUCUUUUUUUUCUUAUCAUUUUUAUUUCUAUGAUCAUUACUAUAUUAUUUGCUGCUUCUUUUAGUCAUUAUCAUGUCUCUAAUUGGACUUGUGCGAACUGAAAAUUUUCCCUGCAGGUAGAAAAGGCUCACAAUGCUGAUCUUCAUUGUGUUGAUUGGAAUCCUCACGAUGUAAAUUAUAUUUUGACUGGGUAAUGAUUGUAACUGUUCAUCCUGUUGAACUAUAUAAAGGUGUUUUAAGUAGGUUGAUCCUUGAAAAAUGCAAUUAAGCUUUCUGUAAUGUUUAUGUGAUGUUUAUCCUUGUUUUUUCCCUGUGUGUGUAUGUCUGGUUCCAUGAUUCCAUGGAAGCUUUUCAAUUUUUAUGGAAGCCUUAAGAUUAUAGCUAUGCCUCCUUCAGGUCAGCAGACAACACCGUCCGCUUGUUUGAUCGACGAAACCUAACUUCUGGGGGUGUGGGAUCUCCUAUACAUAUCUUUGAGGCCCAUACUGCUGCUGUGCUUUGUGUACAGGUUUGAGAGUUACUGACAUGUUUGCUUGGGUUUGCUGUUCACCCUUAUUUACGUUGAUAAGGGUAGCCUAUUUGCAUGCGACCUGCACUGAUGUUUGAUAAAAAUUGUCUGUUUCAGUGGUCCCCAGAUAAAUCAUCAGUCUUUGGAAGUUCGGCAGAAGAUGGUAUCCUGAACAUCUGGGAUCAUGAAAGGGUUAGAGAUCCUUAUCUUCUUAUUUCUUUUUUGCUUACCUUUCCAUAUGGACCAUAUACUGAGGAAGUUCUUCUCGUUAAUGGUGAAAAUCUAGUUGUUUGUAAUUCUUUCAACAGACACUUUCAUGACUUGCAUAAAGUAAUCUAUUCAUAUUAUCCAAUUAUUUUGAAAACCAGAGUUUUUAUGAAUAAAACCGAAGAGGCUCUAAAUUGAUUGCUACUUUUUUUUCUUGGGUAUUAUUUAAGCACCCUUCUGUUCCUAGUAAGGCGACAUUAUUUGUUAGGCUUCACGAUAUUAAUAAGCCUUUUCUUUGAUCUAUCUAUUGUCUGUCAAUAUUUACAUGGUUAUAGCGUAUCAUUUGCUUCAUUCAAGUGGUGACUUUGUUAUGAUUUAAGGACUUUGUUCCUAUCUAAUUGUCAAAAGAAAUUAUACUUCACUGUCAGUAGUUUUUAUGAAAAUUAUUUUCUCCCAGAUUGGUAAGAUGGAGAGCUCGGCUGGUACAAAACGCAAAACAUCUCCUCCUGGCUUAUUCUUUUGUCAUGCUGGACAUAGGUAUAAAUUUUCUGUACCAUUUUAUACCAAAUUUUGUUUUUAUGGUUCCAGUUCUCUUUUCCUUCUAUAUCCUUAAUGCGUUAGUGGGGAUGCUUCUGAUUGACUUAGUAAGCGUCUGGCCAUGAACCAAAAAAAUUUGGAGUUGAGUUGGAGUUGUGUUUGGCCAUGAAUAUAAAUUGGAGUUGUUUUUGAGUUUAUGUGAGAAAUGAGAUGGAGAACUUUUUCAAAUACAAUUCCAAAUUGUAUUUGGAAUUCUCAUGGCCAAACCCUACUAUUUCACUAAAGUCAAAUAAUUUUUAGGAAAAAGGUGAAAAGUUCUCAUGGCCAAACGCCCUAUUAUUAUGAAAGCACCCACCCUGGGUCUCCAAAAGAAAAGAAAAAAGUGAAAAUAGUGGGGUGGUGGGUGUCAGGUGGCAAAUUCUAUACAACGAAAAGAGUAAUUCCACGCCAGUGAUAUUUUUAUUGUUGUGUGUCAACAAACAAUCAUUUCAUUGACCUUGCACCAAGAUGGUGUCUAAUUUUUAUGGUCGUACGUGUACUAUAGAUGCCCUGCUGCAUAGAUAAACAUCUCUGGUGCAGGCUUCCCUAACAACCUCUGUAGCCAUAAGUAGCAAUUGCAUUCUAGGGAUAUUUCUCGGCCAUGUAAACGGUAAAUCCAUUGGCACUGUGCAGUGCAUCAGGACAUUGGCAAUCUCCUGCGAUCCAGAUUGGAAGCUAUAAAUCCCCUCCGCAAGGCUCGAUAAAUCGUCCAUGACCGAGAAAUCAUUCUAUUCACUUGAAUAGGAUCUCUUGACCCAGAAGUUCGUAACUGCUCAUUCUUCAUUCUUUCAAUUCUCUUCAAAGUGAAAACUGGAGGAGUUGAUUUUCCUCCUCCUUGAGACACAGCUAACCAUGCCUGCUUCUGAAGAUCGGUAUUGUCUUCAAUAACACACCUUCCUAUUCAAAUAUAAACUGCUACCCAUCCACAAACAAUCCUUUCUUGUGUAUGGAAUGGAUUUGUAGCGUUAGAGUUGACUGACAAUGAUUUGGGUAGUUAAGAAAUGUCUUACAUAUAUUCCAUUUGGAAUAAAACCAUCUUGAUGCCUUCUGUAUUUGUACAUUGUGAUUAUCAAGCUUCAAUAACUGUGGUAAAAACAUAAAGCCUUCAGUGACAUAGGCAUAGUAGGCUAACACAGUUGUUUAGAGAUAAAAUCAUCUCUGUAGAUAUAGUAAACUAAGUGCAUAUGGGGAAUCCUCUAAUUGAACAUUUGGGAAGGUCUGAUAAGCGAAACAUUGAGGGUAGAGACGAACCCAGGAUUUGAAGAUGAGGGGGGGCACGACUAUCUUUAACAUAGUCAUGCCAAUUACUAGCUACAAAGUUUGGUGUGCAGCUCUCAUAAAACCUAAAACUUACUACAUAGUCAUGCCAAUUACUAGCUACAAAGUUUGGUGUGCAGCUCUCAUAAAACCUAAAACUUACUAUAAAUUAUGAGCAAAGUAAAAAUUCAAAAUGAUUGAAUAUCAUUAAUCUAUGUAACAAAAGUACAUCGUCCAUUCAUAGUUGACUUUGAUGCACUUUCAUAUUUUGAAAGCGGUUGGUGGUAAUACCUUUGCUUAUCUUGUCAAAUAUGUCCUUGAUGCUACAAGCUAAACAAUCAUUUAAAAAUGCAUUACUAAUACUGCCUCGCAAUUCAUUCUCGAUAUGCUUCGUGGAUGAGAUUGCAGUAUACUGCUACGGGUAAAAUUAAUGUCAACUCCACAAGUACACAAGUGGAUUAAUUAAAAGCAGAGUAGAUUCUCUUUUCUCUUUUGUUAGGGGAGCUCAGAGAGUUCUCACUUAUAUUUAUGCCUGCUUAUUUUGAAAAAGAAAACUACGUAAAUUAAUGCCUACAUUCAUUUAUACUCUAUGGAUGGAGUUCUAACUUUGUGAAUGUAAAUAGGGAUAAGGUGGUCGAUUUCCACUGGAAUGUGUCAGAUCCAUGGACGAUUGUUAGUGUCUCAGAUGAUGGUGAAAAAACUGGUGGAGGUGGUACAUUACAGGUAACAUCCUAACUUGUUUAUUAUGCUGGUUAGUUGCUUUCUAUCCUUCAUACUAAGUCGACCUACAUAUACAUAUUAUAAUUUUCAGUAUCUGAUGGUUACUGAUUAAAUUAGUGUUUGAAUUCUAUGCUGCGUUUAUUAAAUUUUAAAUGAUGGUUGGCGCACAAUAAAUUCAAUGAGGGAGCCUGAUAAAGUUUGAAUGACAUCUGGUUCUCUGUGAAAAUUUGUUGCUUUUGUCAUUUAUGUAAAGCCCAAAUAUGAUAUGUGGUCGUGCAUUGGAAUCUUUAGUUGAUGUUUCUUAGAGCUGACUGUCCAAUCUUUUGCAGAUAUGGCGAAUGAUUGAUCUCAUUUACAGACCACAUGAUGAGGUUCUAAGUGAACUGGAGAAGUUCAAGUCUCACCUGCUUACUUGUACUUAAUAUCUCCAGAUAUGUGAUGUCACAGAUGUUCAAGCCAUGUUAAUGGGAAGAACAACACCAAGCUAGAAAUUUGCUGACUCUAUCAAAUGACUAGCUUUUGAGAUUUAUGUAUUGAAUGAGUUUAUUUAGUUUUAUCAUUGACUUUAAAAGAUUUAUGAAAACACAUUCUAGACUUUAAAUCUUCUCGUUGACUUUAUUUGGCGUUUGGUUAAAAUAUACUGUGGAUCUUUCUUUCCACAGUUCUAAUCCGAACACUAGGGCUCGUUUGGUUAGGGUAACAAGUGUUAAUCCCAAGAUUGUUAUCCCCUCCUCAAUGUUGGACAAAAAUAAUACUUACUAUUAUUCCAGCAUAACUUGUCACGGGUAGAGUCAUCUCAUGAUUUUAUCCCAACUUAACUUGGGAUAAUUGAUACAAGAAAGGCACAAAAACAUACACUAAAAUAGUCAACGAUUUCAAGAACCGAGGAUCCCUUUGAUGACCUCUCUCGGAUUCAUAAGAAGAAUAAGAAAGGAAGUGACAUCAAGAGUAAUACACACUAAAAACAAUAAAAACACUUGAUGAACAAGAUGCAAUAACAACAACACAAGAACACAAAUGGAUUACAUUAGAUGUAGACAAACGAUUACAAGAAAGUGAAGAUAGAUAGAUAGACAAAUGAAGAUGUAAUAUUAACAAUCCAAAAGCUUAUUUCACUUUUGGACCUUUAAUAUCACACACAACCUAAACCUAUCUCUUACGUGACCUCAAGGGAACCGGAACCCCCAAGCGAUCUCCGUUUCUAAGCAAAUCAUCAAUACAAGGAUAAAGAGGCUCUCAAAAAAGGCUACAAAUAUCAUCAAAAAUCUCUCCUUAAGAUGAAGGCAAACUAGCUAUUUAUAGGUCAUGGGUCUUUAUUACACAAUGGACCCAAAAGUGACCCUAAAAGAUAUUGGGCCCAAAAGUGACCCAAAGCCCAAAAUAAUGUUAUGGGCGUCCAUGCUCUCUCGAAGCCCACACUAUCUUCCAAACACGUCGUGGCUCAAUGCUCCCGUGGAUGACAUCAUCAAAUGUAGCUUCUCCUGCGCUCCAAGCUAUCAUCCACACACGUAUUUGUUCCCCCAAAACAACUAAAUCUUGGAUCCAUAGAUGUGAUCCUUGAAGCAUCGAUCCCAAAGGAGUGGAGCCCAUUGGUCUUGUAUCAAUAAUUCAUCCUAAAUCAAUCUCGAGGUAAGUUAUCUUUUAUCCCUCGUACGAGACGAGCCCUAAGGUCCAAGCAUAGAAGUGUGGGAUUUCAAUGGCUAGAAAAUAGUUAAAAACUAAUCAGUGAGUAAUAGAAGGUUUUAUUAAUCAAAUUCUUAUCUCUAUAAUCCUUUUAAUAUGCUUAUUGCGGGGCAAGACUACUUUUCUAUUUACUUGAUCGCGCAUCCUUUUAUUAGAUUUUCUAAAAUGAACAUAAGCUUAGUAAUAUCGCGUGGUAUUUUCAUUAAAUUUUCUGUAUAUAUAUAAAUUCCAUAAUUUCUUGCAGCCACUGCGGACUACUAUUUUUAUUUUUUAUUUUUCCAAACAAAGCGGCAGUUAUUGCAAGUUACACCCAGUAGCAAGUAAUAAUUGCAACAUUACUGAUAUAUCUUCUGUAAAGAAGAUCAAAUUGAUGAAAGUGUUUCUAUUUUAGCUCGAGUAGUUAUUGGCUUAGUAUUUUUUUUCAUCUAAAUAUGGUUGAUUCACUUAGACCAGCUUAGUUGGGUUCAAAUUCUGUGUCUAACUAAACUUUUCUCGGAAACUCGGAUAAGAAAUUAUCAUAAAUACCUUGUGAGCUUCCAUAAUGCAAAUGCUUAAUGCCAAAUGUUGUUUUUUGAUACUAAAAUAAUGCAAAUAACAACGUGAAAGUUGAUAAUUUAAUUCGUAUAUCUUAGGUUACUUUAAAUAUUAAUUGUAGGAUCGAAAUCAUUAGUGGAGUAUGAGAAAAUUGAAUGUAAGUAGAUCUCAUUUAUAUCUUACAGGCCACAGAGAGUCUGUUUCCAAAUAUAUGAUUGAAAAAUUAAUUUAAUAAGAAUGUCAUAUUAAUGUUUAAGAUACAAUUUAAAAUAAUCGACUAACUUAUUAUAGAAAUAAAAAAUUACAAAAGGCUUAUAAAAUAAAUUACUUUCAUGUUAUUGACGAUUAUUGAUCUCCUAUAUUAUAAUCUUCUCUCGCAUUUCUCUUACCUCAAAUUUCUUUUAAUUAAAAAUAAAUCUAUUAGUAAUAGAAAAAUGUUGAAUUACUUGGUAAACAUAUCAUAAGGGCAAAAGAAUGAGAUAAACGGAUAGAGCAACAUGAAUAAAGAAACACAAAAAAAGAGAAUUAAAUAGAAAAACCUGUAAAUAGAAAUACUACUACUUAUAAAAUACUGUAGUUUUCGUUUUCGUUGCAUAAAAGAAAAAGGCUGGGUGUGUAGCUCCAUUGUUCACAGUUGAGUGAUGAAGAUGGAUAAUCAAAGAUCAUUGUGUUGGCUCAUUGGCAUCUUCAUUUCUCUGUUAUCUUCAGCUCACUCCUUUUAUCUUCCUGGUGUUGAUCCUCGAGAUUUUCAAACUGUAUGUUCACGACACUCAAUCUUUUUUAUUUUUUUGUAAGACAAAAAUAUAUGAGUCUUUUUUUGUUGGAUUAUGGUGUUAAUAACAAUAUUUUGAAUGAUUAGGGGUUUUUGAUAAUCUUGGGGUUUUAGUAAUUUAUGUGUUAAAGUCCCGCAUCGAAAAAGGAUCAGUAGCAAUCCUCCUCAUGAGCUAGAUUUUGAGGUUGAGUUAGGCUCAAGAUUCAUUCUUUACAUGAUAUCAGAGUCAGACUCAUUCUAAAUCUUUGUUCACCGUUGUUGGUGGGCCCCUAUAUUAUAUUGUGUUCACGCUCCAGUUAGGUUUGGGCCUCAUAUUAUAUUGUGUUCACGCUCUAGAUCUUUGUUCACCGAUGUUGGACCCCCAUAUUAUAUUGUGUUCAUGCUCCAGUCAAUGAGGUUUGGGCGUGGUGGGAGUGUUAAGUAUUUCACAUCGAAAAAGGGUUGACUAUCUCACAUCGAAAAAGGGAUAGGAGUUAGCACAUUUGAUUGAUACUUAAGCUUUGCUUUCCAGCUUAAGCUAACAGAAUUUUAUCAUUUCUAGUAGUAAUCAUAGAUAACUCAUAGGAAUAACAUAUUAAUUAGUUAUAAUUAAUUAAUAUGAAUGAUCAUUUUAUUAAAUUAAUUAAAUAUACUAAAUUUAAAUAAUUUACUUUAAAAAAAAAGAAGGUAAGUAAUUAUACUUACCAUAUUCAAAUUAAACUUAAAUGGGAAAUAUAUGAAAGAUGUAGGAUCCACCACUCACCACUCAUGUAAUUUGUGGCAAAUUGAAAAGUAAAAUGAGACUCAUCCCCCUAUCCUUUAGGAGUCGUUUGGUAGAGUUUAUAAGAACAAUGUAGAAUAUAGUGUAUUAAUUAUGCUUGUAUUAGUUAUGCUGAUAUUGUUUCUUAUACGUUAUUUGGUUUGAUGUAUUAGAGAUAAUAUAUCUUACAUAAUUUUUAUAAAAGAAAUGUUUGUUUACAAAAAUAUCCUUCUUUGACUUUGUACACUUUUUUGCAACAAAGUUCUUUUGCCAUCCCAAACAUAAUUAGUAUUAUUGAAUUAGUAUAUAGAGGUUUAGGAUUAAUUGCAAGACCCUUCGUCUUUGCGAAUGAAAUGUUACGCCGGCGGAUUAGCAUAGUUGGAACAAAAAUUGAAUACAAGAUGUAAAAUUAAGAAAUAGUCUCAAUUUUUUUUUAAUCUUUUACAAAAACCCUCGAAGCAAAGCAAAAAUUUAUUGGAGUUAUUUAAACCAACUAUUCAUCUUUGUAAAUUAAAAUGGUGGGAAAAGAAAUUGAAAUAUUUUGAAAGGGAAAUUGAGGGGUAUUAAGGUCAUUUAAUAAGUCAAUGCGUGUGUUUAAAGUCUUUGUAUUACUAAUAGUAGGAAAUGAUGUGUAUUAGUAGUACAUACCUCAAUACACAAUAGAGUGUAUAACUAAUGUUUGCAUUAGUUAUACCUAGGCAAAAAGAUGUAUCAAAUAAGGUACUAGCAGUACACAUUAAUUAAUGCAUGCAUUAUAUUUUUCAGUACACUCUACCAAACGACCCCUUAAUGAUAUUUGUGUUCAUAUUGUAGGGGCAUGAUGGUAAUAAAAUAGAAAAAGAGAGGUUUUCUAUAUUGUUUUCGAGUUAUCUGGCGUUUCAAAAUGAGAUUUUGAUUACAUUUUUAGUCGAUUAUUAUUGUGUUCUGCAAAUGAAUUUUACUGAUUGAGUAUAGUCAUCGUAGAGUUGACAAUUAAGAAAUAAAGAUGGACCCAUGUGUAUGAAUGGGGUGCACCUGCACCCAUUAAAUUUUCAAUUUGUCGCAUUUCAUUUAUUUUUCUGUUUUAAUUUAAAAAGCUUAAAUAUAACAAAAGCUACAAGUUCGGGAUCCCAACCCGCAUCAAUUUCCAUAUUAUGCACGACUUUUAUCAUUGAAUUACCACUCUUAAUUGUCUUGACAAAGUUAAACUUCAAUUAUUAGCUCAGAAUCCAUCCUUAACUUAUAUACUUGUAUUUUACCAUUGCCGACGUCACUAGUGACCCCUCAAACACGAUAUUAUCCUUCAGUAGUCAUUUAAAAUUUCGCUAAUCUUCAAAUUCUGACUUCGCCUCUAUUAGGAAAAAUCACAGUAGGCAGAGAGACCUGGGUGUUGGGAACAAUCCUUAGAUGUAUAAAAGGAAUUUGUAACCAUGAAUUUCUCGUGUUUAUUGUAGAGUUAGGAAAAAUCCUUCAGUAAUUUUCUGUUUCGUUUGAGCAAGAAUUUUUUCACGUAAAAAUACCUACGUUACUUUUAACAAUUCAUACUUUAUCUUCUCGUAUUAUUUCUGAAAGAACAUGAAUAUUGCGAGCGAUAGACUACAAUUACUUACCAGUUACACAUUCAAAUUUGGAAAAGUGAUUCUAACCAUCUUAUCGAAAGGAAAAACCUCACAAAAGUUCAACAUUUCUUCAAAUAAAAUACUUAUUCCAACACAACUUCAAUAUUCAAAUAUCAUUAUCAGAACUUAAUUUUUUCAAAACAUCACUAAAAAAGGAAAACCAAAAUCCAAAUAUGGUAAGAUGAAAAACCUAGAGGAAUAGAAAAACCUAAGUAGUACACAAAAAUUCAUUUUUUCUUCCAACAUGAAUGUGUAAGAGUACUAUAUAUAUAAGUGGAAUCUUAUAAGGGGCACAGACUGUUUUGCGUGUUGGGUUCUCCCUCUCAUUUCCAUUAGUAGUAGAAAAAAAAAAAAGCCUUUUCAGCAGCAGAGGCAGAGAGAGGCGGGAAAAGGGAAAAAACAGAGAGAAAAUGAAUGGAAGAACAGACAAAGGCAGAGGAGGAGAAGAAGAAGAGGCGCUGCAGUCGGUGGAGGAGCGUUAUACGGAGUGGAAAUCACUCAUUCCUGUUCUCUACGAUUGGCUUGCUAAUCAUAACCUCGUUUGGCCUUCCCUCUCUUGUCGGUUCGUAUAUAUAUAUGUACAUUCACUCAUGUUCCUUUAAUUUCUAUCCAUGUAUCUAGGGUUUUGUUGACUUGUGCUGUCUUUUGGUCGGUGCGUUUGGCUUGUUGAAUUGGCUAUUGUUAGUUUUGGUCUACUCGUAGUAUUUAUGAUUUUGGUGCGUUUGGCUUGUUGAAUUGCUCAUUUUUAGUUUUGGCCUACUUGUACAAUUUAUGGUUCGGUGCGUUUGGUUUGUUGAAUUGCUUGUUGCUAGUUUUGGCCUACUCAUACUAUUUAUGGUUCGGUGCGUUUGGUUUGUUGAAUUGCUCGUUGUUAGUUUUGGCCUACUCCUACUAUUUAUGGUUCGGUGCGAUUGGCUUGUUGGAUUGCUCGUUGUUGGUUUUGGCCUACUCGUACUAUUUAUGGUUCGGUGCGUUUGGUUUGUUGAAUUGCUUGUUGUUAGUUUUGGCCUACUCGUACUAUUUAAGGUCCGGUAAAUCUGGCUUGUUGAAUUGCUCAUUAUUAGUUUUGCCCUUCCCUCUGUUGUCUGUUCGUGUAUAUAUACACACACACACUUACAUCCUCAUUCCUCUAUUUGUCCUUAAUUUCUAUGUAUCUAGGGUUUUUUCAACUCGUAUUUUUUUAUUGUUCGCUGUGUUUAGCUUGUUGGGUUGCUCAUUAUAAGUUUUGGUGCAUUUAUUGUUUUGUUUGUUUGGCUUGACUUGACACAUCGGUUAAGAGAUUAAGUAUCUAUUCGGCCAUGUUUCAUUUUCAAAGUGAAAAUAAUAUUGAAAAUUGGAGUUGUGUUUGUCCAUGAAAUAAAUUAGAGUUGUUUUUGAAUUUUCGUGAGUAAUUUGUAGUGGAAAAAUUGAAAACAGGCUUUUGUUGUUUUUGGGACUUUUGAAAAUAGUGAAAAAAAGUAAAAAACAGAACUUUUUGGAAUAUUAUCUCCAACUGUUUUUUCCACGGCCAAACAGGCAAGAAACUUUUGAAUCAGCGGUCUUAAACAUAAAAUACGUAGAAUGUAACAAAAUGUCCUUUAAAAGUCACCAAAAAGAGAAAUAUUCAUUCAUUUUGAAAUGGUCUAAAAAGGAAAGUAACACAAAUAAAUUGAAACAAAGGGAGUAAUACUUGGUCUAUAGUGAAAAAUUCUAUUUUUUGGCGCGAAGUACUAAUUGGUUUCAUUAAUGGCAUCAAAAGGGAUGCAAAUAAGCUACUCCCCUAUGUUUUAAUUUGUUUGUAUUAUUUUGAUUUGACACAAAGUUUAACGUAAAUACGGCUUUUGAAUCUUGUGGUAUUAAACUAAAGAUAUGCAGAAUGUACCAAACUGUCCCUUAAUCUCGUGGUCUUAAUUUGAAAAGUUGGCAAAAAAGGAAAGAGACAUUCUUUUUGAAAUAGACUAGAAAGGAAAAUAAAGACAAACAAACUAAAAUAGACGGAAUACAAAAUAUAGAAGCAAAAAUUAAAAUGCCUGUUUGUUCCUUUCAAUUCAUAUGCUCCAGAAAAAUUAUUGUAGGUACCAACUUCCAUAUUUUCUAAUAGUAGUAGUUGUAGGUAAAAGGCCUUUUUAGCAGGCCUAAUCAGUGAGUACUAAAUAAGAGCAGAAAGAGAGGCGGGAAAACGUGAUAGUAGGAGGAAGAGAGAAUGAAAGAGAGAAUGGUGAAAGGCAGAGAAGAGGCGCUGUCGGUGGAUGGACGUUACACAUGAUGGAAGUUUAUGAUUCCUGUUAUCUACGAUUGGCUUGCUAACCAUAAGCUUCUUUGGUCUUCUCUCUCUUGUCGAUUUGUAUUUAUAUAUAUAUAUAUAUAUAUAUAUUCACUCACAUCCUAAUUCCUUUGUCUAUCUCACUCUAUUUAUCUCUAUAUGGGGUUUCGUAAACUCACACUCCCUAUUGUUUUGUGCAUUUAGCAUUUUGAACUGCUCAUUUUUAGUUUAGUGCAUUUGUUAUUAAUACUCUUGCUCUACAGUGAUAAUUUUGUAUUUUUUUGGUGCGAAGUACUAAUUCGUUUCAUUAAUGGCAUCAAGUUGAACUUAAUAAGUUACACAAUACAACAACAACAACAUACUCAUUGGAAAUCCCACAAAGUGGUGUGUGGGGAGUGUAGAGUGUAAACAAACUUUAUUGCUACCUCUUGGAGAUAGAGAGGUUGUUUCUGAAAAUAAGUUACGAAGUAUAGAAGCACGAAGCAAAAAGCAAAAUAUGUAUUUGUUCUUUUAAAAUAAUCAUUCUGAAUCUUCAUGUUCAUUUUAUUUUUUCCUUUCUUAUACAAAUGUUCUGUAGUAAUGAGUUUCUAUUUAAUAAGUCCCUAGUCUCUGGGCACGUGCGUUUCACGUGCAAGUCCAGUCUUGUACACACGAUUUUGUCACGUGAUAUUAAUUUUAUUAAAAUACAACACCUUUAAUUUUCUUUCAAAAUAUCACCAAAAAUUCUAAAUAUGGCAAGGAGAAAAAUCCAAUCUGAUGAGGAAUAGGAAACCCUAGGUUGUAAAAUAAGUGUAUUUAUUACCAGAGCUACUAUAUUUAAGUGGAAUCCUAGAAGGCACAAACUGUUCUGCGUGUUGGGUUGACCCUCAUUCUAAUAGUAGCAGUAAGGAAAAGUCACGUUAGUAGUAAGUACUAAAUAAGAGCAGAGUAGAGAGGCAGGAAAACGUGAAACCGAGAAAUGAAAAGGAGAGCGCAGAAAGGCGGAGAAAAAGCGCCAUUGAUAGACGAAGAUUACACUCGGUGGAAGUCUUCGAUUCCUGUUAUUUACGAUUGGUUUACUAACCAUAGCCUCGUUUGGCCUUCCCUCUCUUGUCGGUUCGUAUUUAUAUACUCACUCACAUCCCCAUUCCUCUAUAUCUCCAUAUCUAGGGUUUUUGUUAACUCGCACUCCCUGUUGUUCGCUGCAUUUAGCGUUUUGAAUUGCUCAUUGUUUUAAUUUGGUGCAUUUGUUUUAAUAAUUAAUACUCUUUUACCAAUUGGUUUCGUUAAUGGCAUCAAGUAGAUGCAAUCAAGUUACAAAAUGCAACAACAACAUACCCAUUGGAAAUCCCACAAAGUAGUGUGUGGGGAGGGCAGAGUGUGCAAACUUUGCUCAUACCCCUUGGAGAUGGGGAGACUGUUUCUGAAAAUUAAUCUACAAACAUAGAAACAAAAAGCAAAAUAACCUUUUAAAAAAUUAUUUUAAAUGUUCAUGUUCAGACCCUCCCCCCACAACAUGAACAAGAAAAGGUAUCAUUGUUUUGUAAUGAUUCAAGUACUAAUAUUGUUUGAAUAAAGAUAAAUGACAAUGUAUCAUGAUAAAAUCUAGUCCUAACAUAUUCAUGUGUUACUUUACAAAAACAAAAUAAUUAGUGUAUAAUGAAUUUUGAAGAUAACAAAUGACAAUAAAAUCACAGUAAAGAGGAUGUUAUGCGUCAUCUUUCCUACAUGUACAUACCCUUUCUAAGCUUAUCUGUUUGAAUUGUACAUUAACGAGAGUUUUAACUUUGCCCCCUCUUUCCAUUUUUGGGUGUUUUAGGUGUCUGUGAGUGCAUGAGGGGUGGGGGUGGCGGUAGUUCUUGAGAAGCUACCCCUUGAAAAACUCGUGUUUAAAUAUUUCCUAUCACCCUAGACAUCCAUGUGAAAAUCAUAAUUAAGGGUCUACAAAUGAUACACUCGGAUUUUACUUACUUAUCCAAGUAGUCUUCUCUACAUCUGUUUUGUGUGAGGACAGGAGAGGAUGUGGGUAGACAUCAGUUAAGAUUCUAGUAUUUUCUUGCUGUUUGUCAAGGGACAUCAAAUUUAAUCAAACUCAGCCCUACAAUCUUGUCAUUAAGUUUGACAGUGAGUUACUUGCAGAAUAUUGGUUCAUUUAUUGUUCGGAUGCAGGUUGUCUGGCGUAUUUGAUUGCAGAUUCUUUGACAAUUGGUUUUGACUUUUAUAUUUUUCUCUUUAUUUAUGAGUCUGUUUUUUGUCUCUUCAGAGAUUCAACUGUUUUACUGAUGCUUCAGCCUUUUCAUGCUGAUGGUAUUGCUUCCUUGCUUGUUUGUCUGUGCAUAAUAAUAACUGAGAUUACUGAUUUUUCUCCUUCAGAUGGGGUCCCCAGUUUGAGCAAGCAACUUACAAAAACCGCCAGCGCCUCUACCUUUCCGAGCAGGCAAGAUGAUCAUUUCAUGUCCUUUAAUUUUUUAGAAUUGUUUUCGGUUUUGUAUCCAUUAUGCACAUAUAGGCUUCUUUCUUCGGGUUUGGACUUGAAGUGCAUAAUGAUCUUUCCUUAGCAAAAAUUCGGUACUUUGUCAAAAUAUGUUGCACUACCAUGAGGGAAUUUUUCCAUGUUGAUGGUGGUUAAUGGAACAUUGGAGAGAAGGAUGGAUUAGUCUUAUUCAUGCCAAAGAUUUGACGAGACCUCAGCCUAAACAUGACCAGGAAUUGGGAUUCAAGAUAGAGUCAAUGCCUUGAAAAAUGCAAUUCAAACUGGGCCUGUUUCUCUUUGACAUUUAUAUGCUAUGUUUCGUGAUGGUAAACACGGUAGAUUAGCCAAUAUUCUUGUUAGGUUGCUAGCAAAGAGCUUGGAUCUAUCAAGAAUAUCUGUCUGUUCAGUUUUUGCUUUAAAUUCCAUAGUGAAUGUGGUAGUUUUUGUUAUCACAUCCUUACAGGUCAGUCAUCUCAUUUCUCUUACAUCACUGCUAAAACCUCAACUUUCAUCAUAAUCCUUUUUUUUGCCCUUCCUGCAGACUGAUGGUAGCUGUCCAAAUACGCUUGUCAUAGCUAAUUGUGAAAUUGUAAAGCCUAGGGUUGCAGCAGCACUACACAUAUCUCAGGUGUUCUCCAUGUGCAUAGAUGCAAGCUUUUUCCUAUUUCUUCCUGUUGUUCUUUCCACUUUUUCACUUUUUAUGAUAUUGAUUGCCUAUUUUUCAGUUCAACGAAGAAUCACGUUCGCCUUUUGUAAAAAUGUUCAAGACUAUUAUUCAUCCUGGUGAGGUACAUCUUUCUUUGCUCCAUCUUACUAAUGGAUCCAAACAUGAAUUUGUCUCUUUUUGGCCAAGUUGUGCGGACUCUUCACAUUCGAUGCUACACCUGUGUCGGAUUCUCCAAAAAUACAUUACUUUUGGAGAAUUCGACACACAUAUUGAUAUUUUUGAAGAAUCCAAGCAACAUAGCUUUUUGGUUUAUUUCGUAAUUAGAUUUUAUUGUUAAGAAGUUGUACAACAACAUACCCAAUACGAUUUCACAAAUGAGGUCCGAAGAGGAUGGUGUAUAUGCAUCCUUACUCGUACCUUAUGAAGGUAGAGAGAUUGUUUUCGAUAUACCCCCGGCUCAAGUAAGACAUAUCAAAAUCCGUUGAAAAGAAAAUAAAGAAGUGAAAAAAGUCAAAAACGCUAUACAAAAGAUAAUGGAAACAACAAAAUCAACAACAAAUAAUACGAUAACUUGAACAAAAGAUAAUUAGUAGAUUAUGGGAGUAGGUGUUAUAGAAGUAAUUUCUCAUAGGGUGUACCGUUACAAUGAUGGAUAUUACCUAGAUGUGGCAAAAUCAGCCUAAACCUGCCAACCCAUUUAUGUUUGGGCGGGUUACUAAUCCACUUUAUUGACUGGGCUCAUUUUGACCCGCUUGGUUCCGCCCAUUUUAAAACUUGGUUCAUAUGCAACCCAAAAUUGACCCAUGAGAAAUUUUAUCUUAAUAUUUUUUUUGAGGAUGGUAACAGUUAGUCUAUAUAUAUCCACAGAGGCGCUACAUCCAAAAGAUAUAGUACCUUUUCAAAAGUAUUACAUACUACAUCAGUCCUUCCUUCUUUAUUUCUUACAAGUAGUCUAAGACAUCAAAAAUGUCUUCGGUUUGCACUAGUAUAUCCUGUUUACAUCCAAAAUAAAACAAAGCUAAGCAUUUCAGCUUCAAACUCUUAAUGCCAUUCUGCUUGUCUUCAAAACAUCUCUGAUACCUCUCCUUCCACACUAUCCACCAAAUGCAUGCUAGGACAGUAUUUUAUCUCUCCUCCUUAGAACUUGCAUUGCCAUUAUUAUUCCAGGAACUCAAAACACCUCUGAUGCUACCUGGUUUCACCCAAUUUAUCUUCCUUAGGCAAAUAAAUAUUCUCCAUAAUUGAUCUGUCCAUUUGCAAUGUAAAAAGAGAUGGUUGAUUGUCUCCCUUUGCACUCCACAUAGAAAAAGCAUCUUGAGCACAAAUGAAAUCCUCUUUUGUUGAAAUUCUCAUGUGUCGAGACAGCUUCCUUUGCCAGUAACCAGGUGAAACAAUUCACUUUGUAUGGAAUUUUGGUCUUCUAGAUCAUUUUCCAUGGCCGAUUCUCUCCUCUGUGACUUGAUAAGUUUAGUGACUUAUAUGCUUAUCCAAUAAUGAAAAUUCCUGACCCUUCUUCCUUUCUUACCUUGGUAUCCCUUUCUUCAUUCAAAUUGUUAAAUGCUACCGUUGUGGAGUAGAAAGUUGCUACUACCCACUUCUCAAUCGUUUAGAUAUCUUCUAAAAUUUAGGUUCCAACGUUGCCUAGUCCACAUUUCAGCUUCUUGUUGUAAACAUAAAUUGUAGAGAUCUGGACUCGACCUAUCCAAUUAUCAUGUGUUUCCAACAUAAUUUAAAUUCAUGGAAAAUAAACUUCAAUCACUAAUAAAAAUAUGAAGAAACAACAAUUUUUAUUGAUAAAUGAUGUGAGUACAAAUCCGUUCCUCCCUUGAUUCUUCUCUCUUGAUUUUCUCCAUAAUUCGAGGGCUGUCAGUGGCGUAUUUCUUGAACGUAGAAUUUGAUAUGAAUUUCUUCGUAAUUUGAGGGCCUCUCUUGAUUUUCUCCAUAAUUCGAGGGCUGUCAGUUGCGUAUUUCUCGAACGUAUGAUUUGAUAUGGAUUUCUCCGUAAUUCGAGGGUCGUUAGUGGCGUAUUUCUCGAAUGUAGGAGUAUUUGGAUUUAAUCUCCAUGAAAGGAGGUUUUGUGGAUCUUCUUGAUGUAUUUGAUUAUCAAGAAGAAAGGGUUUUGAUCUAUAAAUAUCCCAUGAAUUUAUUGGGACUUUGAAGAUCGUUUAUCUCUUUGUGAAUAUCCCGUGAAUUUGUGGGAUACUGGAGAUGCCUCUUGAAAAGGAUAUUUGCCCUUUUAUAUAAGCGUAAUUUAGGGUUUAGGUAGAGUAGCCAUCAAGCUAGAUUUAGGGUAAAGUAGUCCCUAAGAACUCUAACCAAAAUUGAACUCUUUUUGUAGAGUCCACAAAAUUUCAAUGUCUACAAAUGCCCCUACUUCAAGGCUUGUCGGAAUAUAAACUUGAUGAAACUCAAAGACGAGUCUUGAAGUACCGCUUCCAUCUUUAUGAUCCUCCGGUUACAGAUUUGCAUAUUUGAUUUAUGAGAGAAAAGAUUAAGGACAAAUUUGGUCCCACUGGGUGUGCCAAAAUUUGUUUGCAACAAGAUUAGCGAUAUCUGGCAUGAUUCGGAUGCAACCUGAUUGUGAUUUCUGCGUGAGAUGUAUCCUUAUGAAUCUACUUUCCAAUGCAAAAAACGACACUUGAUUCCGAUACUUCCACGUCGAGAUAUGUAAUUUAUCGUGACACUGCGCAAAGCUGAAAUAACUAGCGAACCAACAUUAGAAGGCUGUUUGCGGAGUGAUAUCUGGGAUGAUUCGGAUGCAACCUGAUUGUGAUUUCUGCGUGAGAUGUAUUUCUGUGAAUCUACUUUCCAAUGCAAAAAAUGGCACCUAAUUCCAAUACUUCCACGUCGAGAUAUGGAAUUUAUUGUGACGCUGCACAAAGCUAAAAUAACUAGAAAACCAAGAUUAGAAGGCUGUCUUUGGAGCGAUAUUUGGGACGAUUCAGAUGCAAUUUGAUUAUGGUUUUCGUGUUAGACGUAGCUCAACGAAUCUACUUUCCAAUGCAAAAAACGGAACCUGAUUCCGAUACUUCCACGUCAAGAUAUGAAAUUUAUCGCGACGCUGCGCAAAGCUGAAAUAACUAACGAACCAAGAUUAGAAGACCGUUUUUGGAGCGAUAUAUGGGACGAUUCAGAUGCAAUUUGAUGCUGGUUCCCGCGUGAGAUAGAUCUACGAGUUUAGUUUCCCACGGAAAAAAUGGCUCCUGAUUUUGAUGUUCCUAUGUCAAGAUAUGAUAGUUUUCGUGAGACUGCGCAAAACAAGUAAAAAGUGACAAAAUAGAACUGCAGGUCUGAUUUUGAAACGAUACCUGGACAGAUCUGGAGAUAAAUUGAGCGUGGUUUUUGCGUAGAACGUAGCCUCGCGAGUAUGCUUGCCAAUACUACAAGUCGUUCGUGAUUCAGACACCUCCACGAUAUGUUAUGAAGCUUCUUCCACAGACGCCCCAAAGUGCCCGAAAGCUCAAUUGUGAAAAAAAAGCAAAAAGAGGAGAAGAACGGGGGUUGAAUUUCUGCUCAGGCUGAAUUGCAAUGACUUGAUGGGGCGGUGAUGUCCUUUUAUAGACUUUGAAAGGCCCCAGUUUGAUUUCGAAAAGGAAUUUACUGAACAAGUUGUCUUCAAGAAGAACUGGGACAUCUAAGUGUCCAAAACAAUUCAAAUUCCUAAUUCUUUUCGAAGUAGGAUAACGUCAUUAUUUAAUCCUAUUAAAAUUCGAUAUAAUACUAAUAGCCAAAUCUUACAAGGUUUGGAUAUAUUUAGUUUUAAACAGAAUUUUACACUCCUAAGGAAGAGAUUGACGCUAUUCUACCCGAAUUAUGAUGACUUCGAGGAGUCGGAUUCGACAAAGUGCUCAAGCCUUGCAAAAAAACAAAAAAAAAAGAGGCUCCACAAAUACUUCAAAUCUCGUCUCUAACAGGUCCGACAAAUCAAACAUCUUGAUGAGCUUUGAAGUAGGGGGCAUCUAUAGACACGUAAAAUUUAUUGGGUCAAAUUCAUAUAAAAAUUGGAUUUGACCCAUAUUUUAUUGGGCCUAAGAUUAUUUUGGGCUAUUAAAAUAAUAAGCCCAUUUUAUUCCUCAUCAAAGACUUCAAGAUCCAUCUCAUCUUGAGGCCCAAACUUAUGCCACGUGUCAAGUGACAUGGCAUCCCAGUCAAAUUAAAGACCAAUGAAGCAAAACCACACACAUCAAAUGAUGUGGCAAUCCAAGUCAAGUUCAAGAGCCAAUGAAAUGUCGCCAAGUGUCCCAAAUGACAUGUUUUUGGCCAAUCACAAUUAACCUUGUCACGUAACAUUUGUGAUAAGCUUGAAAAUUGAAUGGAACAAUCAGAAUGAGACAGAAGAGGUCAUUUACACUUGAACUGCUUACCCCCUACAACUAUAAAUAGGAGGGUUACACAAUUUUCUAAGGUCAUUCUGCAAGCAUUGGAGGAAACUUCUGCAUUGACUACAUGACUCUUCAACGAAUUGACUAACGGAGUUCUGCCCAGAGAUUAACUCGACAAAACGAAGUGCUGUCAAACAAUUUCUGGAGAGAGAAGAAUCAAGAGAAUCACAGAAUUGUACUCACAGAUUCUUAUAAAUAAAGUUGUUAUUUUCUUUUCAUUUAUUUUUGCUUGCAGUUAAUUUCCAGCACAAUGAAAAUUUAUUGCAAACAUCAUGCCUGAAGGAAACCUUCUAUCCAUCCUUGUAGUUGAUCUUUGCUUUCAUCGCAGGCCACAAGUUCCCGAUUUCAAUUUUCUGCUGAAUGCCUCUCAAUAUUGAGAGUCUUGUCAUUAAAUAGAAAAUAUUCAAUGAUUACAUUCCUAAAGAUCUGUCUUCCUAGCCCUAAAGAUCAGUUUUUCUAUCCCUCUAAAUUCGUUAUUCUAUCCCACCAAAUCUGUUCUUACUAAGGUCACUAUUAUUCUCUUUAACUACUAAAUCAAAUCUAUGUAAUUACACUAAUAUACAACAAUAUAUGAUUACAUUAAUAUACAAUAUUUACAUCAUGCUAACACCCCCCCUCAAAUUGAUGCUGGUAGAUCAAGAAGCAUCAAUUUGCCGACGAGAAACUNNNNNNNNNNNNNNNNNNNNNNNNNNNNNNNNNNNNNNNNNNNNNNNNNNNNNNNNNNNNNNNNNNNNNNNNNNACUAAAGUCACUAUUAUUCUCUUUAACUACUAAAUCAAAUCUAUGUAAUUACACUAAUAUACAACAAUAUAUGAUUACAUUAAUAUACAAUAUUUACAUCAUGCUAACACCCCCCCUCAAAUUGAUGCUGGUAGAUCAAGAAGCAUCAAUUUGCGGACAAGAAACUGAUGUCGUUGUCGCGCCAUUGAUUUUGUAAAUGCAUCAGCUAUUUGAAGAUCACUGGACACGUGCGGAAGAGUAAUGGCACCUUUAUCUACAGCUUCUCGUAUAUAAUGACAGUUUACUUUGAUGCGUUUGGUCCGCUCAUGAUAAACCGGAUUAGUAGCAAUCUGAAUAGCACUUGUAUUGUCAGCAUGGAGAGGAGUAGGAUUAGAUUGAGGAAAUCCAAUCUCAGCAAGUAGUCCACGAAGCCACACAAUCUCGGAGCAAGCAGUAGACAUUGCUCAAUAUUUAGUCUCUGUUGAAGAUUUUGAUACGCGGUCUUGCUUCUUACUCUUCCAAGAUAUCAAAGACUCUCCAAGAAACAUGCACCAACCAGUAACCGAACGACGAGUGUCAGAACAUCCCGCCCAAUCAGAAUCACUAAAAGCAUUAAGACGAAUAGGCGAACCACUAGGAAAGAAUAAUCCACGAUUAGAUAUUCCUUGGAGGUAUCGAAUGAUGCGACGGACAGCCACCAAAUGAAGAUGACGGGUAGCUUGCAUGAACUGACUAACUCGUUGAACUGCAAAAGAGAUAUCAGGCCUGGUAAUAGAAAGGUAAUUUAAGCUCCCAACUAAUUGUCGAAAUAUAGUUGGAUCAGGAAAAAGAUCGCCUUCCUCCCGGCGAUACUUUACAUUCAAUUCUAAUCGAGUAUCCACAGAAGAAUCCUGAAGACCUGCCAAAGAAAUCAAAUCUUGGGUAUAUUUGUGUUGAUUUAGAAACACACUGGAUGAAUCACGAUGAACUUCCAAACCAAAGAAAUAUGUAAGAGUACCGAGAUCUUUCAUAUUAAAAGAAUCCUUAAGUUGCUGUUGCAGGCUAGUGAUUAGUGAAGAAUCCAUUCCUGUAAUAAUAAUGUCAUCGACAUGUACAUGUACCAAAAGAAGAACACAACUUGUGGAUGUUUUCCGAAGAAACAAAGAUGAGUCAUAGUUGCUCUACUCAAAAGAGAAUUAUAGCAAAGUAGACCGAAAUUUGUCAAACCAAGCUCUGGGAGCUUGUUUUAAUCCAUACAAAGACCGCUUCAACUUGCAUACAUCUGAUGUAGGCAAUGAGAACAAACCUGGUGGAGGUUUCAUAUAAAUAUCCUCUUUGAGAUCACCAUGAAGAAGAGCAUUUUUGACAUCCAUUUGAUGAAAAGUCCAGUUUUGUUAAGCAGCAAUGGCAACAAUAGUUCUCACCGUUGUCAUUUUUGCUACCGGUGCAAAAGUCUCUGCAUAGUUCACACCAUACUCCUGCUUGUUACCAAGAACAACCAACCGAGCUUUGUAUCGAUCAAGAGUUCCGUCAAAAUGAAAUUUAAUUGAAUAAACCCAUUUACAUCCAAUUGGAUGGACAUUUGAAGGACAUGAAACAAUAUCCAAUGUGUCAUUUUCUUUGAGAGCCAAAAGUUCUUCCUCCAUUGCCUUCUGCCAACAUUCAUGCUUAGAAGCUUGUGAGUAACAAGUUGGAACAUAAAUGGUGGAUAAAGUAGAUGAAAAGCCAUACCAAGUAGGAGUACGAGAUACUCUCGUAGAUCGUCGAGUGGGCUCAAGAGGAGCAGGCCUUGAAGAAUUCUCAGAUUCUAUUUGUGGUGUAGUUUCAGGUGGCGGAUAAAUAUCAAGAGGGGGUAAAGUUGGCCGCCGACGUUCGUACACAAAUCCGGGUUUGAACCUCUUAGAAGAUGAUGACAAAUCUUCAAAAGUAGGAAGAAGAAGAGAAGCAGGAGAUGACUCAAAAUGAGUAGAAAAAAAAAUACUGAUUCUCAAAGAAAACAACAUUUCUAGAAACAUAAAAUUUAUUAGAACAUGGAUCAUAACAGAGAAAACCUUUCUGUGAAGUAUUAUAACCCAUAAAAACACAUUUAGUAGACUGAACAAAAAGUUUAUUAUGCUGAGAAGGAGGAAGAUGCACAAAACAAAUACAACCAAAUGUAUGAAAAUUAUCAUGGCUUGGAUUUUUGUGAUAAAGACGGAAAGAUGGAGACUCAAGAUUUAACACUUCAGACGGCAGCCUGUUAAUUAAAUAGACAUCAGUAGACAAAGCUUCAACCCAAUAUUUAGAUGGGACAAAGGACUCAAUCAAUAAAGUACGAGUGACAUCUAAAAGAUGCCGAUUUUUACGCUCAGCGACCCCAUUUUGUUGUGGAGUAUAUGGACAAGAGCGUUGUGAGACAAUUUCUUUGUCAAGCAAAAAAUUUUUGAAUUCAUUUGACAUAUAUUCUCUACCAUAAUCAGAUCUUAAUAAUUUGAUACCCGUAGAAAAUUGAGUCUCAAUGUAAGCCAAAAAUAUCUUGAACAUGGAAAAUACUUCAGAUUUGGUACGAAGAAAAUACACUCAUGUCAAUCGACUAUAAUCAUCUAUGAAUGUCACAAAGUACUUGAACUGAGCAUGAGAAACAAUUGGUGAAAUACCCCAAACAUCACUAUGAACAAUAUCAAAACACUUUGUAGCACGACUACCCAAAUUAGGAAAAGGAAGAAUUUUACUUUUGCCUAAUUUACAAGUAGAACAAUCAAAUGAAACAGGGAAAAAUUGAUUUUUACUUCCUAAUAAACCAGAAUUUGAUAAAUGAGGUAACACAACAAAAUUUGAAUGUCCUAGACGCUUAUGCCAAAGCUCAGUCUUAUUAGUCGUAGAAGUACAAGCAAAAGAUAUAAUAGGAGGAAUGGAAAAUUCUCAAGAGUGGAACCAUUUAUUGCUGCAUGAAAAUUAUUUACCUUACGAUUCUGAGGGCGUGUGGGACACUCUUUGAUAAUGUGUCCUUGUUGUUUACAAUAAUUACAGAACUUCUUGCCACAAUUUCUAGUAAUAUGGCCAUAUUCCUUGCAAUUGUAGCAUUGAGUUCUAUUCAUAUCCCUACUCAUACCUUUACCUUGAGUAGCAAACGUAACAGUAACAUCAUUUCCUCUUCUGAAAGCAUUUUGUGUGACAUAACGUUGCUCUUCACGAAGCAAUUUCCUAAAACAAACAUUCAGGGAGGGAAACGGGUCACGAUUCAUCAAGUUAGAGCGAACACUCUCAAACUCAGAGCGUAGCUUCAUCAAAAAUUGAUCUCGCUUGCUUUGCUCAUGAACUUGUUGAAUUACAGAGAGAGAUUCAGAAGGUAUUUUGGCAUAAAUAAUAUCUGUAAAUUCAGCCCAUAAGUUCUGAAAUUCAGAAUAAUAAUCCUGAAUAGAAAGACUUCCUUGAGAGUAUUUAACAAUUUCAUACUCUAAGUGAAAGCGCCGGGCACUAUUAUCUUGGUUGUAAACCUUUUGUAAAUAAUCCCACAUGACCUUAGCUGUCUUGUAAGGCCUAAGAUUAGAAACAAUAAGAGGAUCAAUUGACCCUAAAAGCCAUGUCAUCACCCGAGCAUCUUUAAUCUUCCAUUCACCUAACUUUUUAGGAUCAGUAGGAGCAGGAUCGGCUCCAUCUAUAUGACCCCAUAGUUCUUUUCCGGUGACAAAUAACUGAAACUGAAACUCCCAUAACGAAAAAUUCUUUCCAGUGAAAUGAACACUGAAUGAUUCAAAUUGAUAUGAACUCAUAAUUAUGAAAACUAGAAACACUAACUCAAAAAGAACAACCAAAAUGACCAAGAUCAAAGUCCUAAGUUAGAGCGAGUAAAAGUCCCACAUUGUUUGGGGAAUGGACUGGUGGUUUGCUUAUAUGGACUUGGGUAAUCCUCACCUCUUGAGCUAGCUUUUGAGGUUGAGUUAGACCCAAGGUCUAUUUCUUGACAUGGUAUCAGAGCCAGGUCCAUCCUCGUUUUAGGCUUCCGGUCCACGCCCCAGUACCAGUUGGGCCUAGGCGUGAGGGGGGUGUUAGAGUGGGUAAAAGUCCCACAUUGGUUGGGGAAUGGACUACUGGUUUGCUUAUAUGGACUUGGGUAAUCCUCACCUCUUGAGCUAGCUUUUGAGGUUGAGUUAGUCCCAAGGUCCAUUUCUUGACACCUGAUAGCUUUCCACACUAUGCAACUAUAUGGAAUAUUUACCAUGUUAGUUGCCCAGUUGUCUCCUAACCCUUACUUUGCACAAAUCAUAUCCUUUCAUAACAUAUUGUCACUUGUCCCAAACUUUCACAACUAUUUCAUCGUGAGACUCUGGUUUUGCAACUUCAUAUUUUUCAUCCCCACCCCUUCUACCUUCUUUCCCACGGUCAAUUCCUCCCAUUUCACUAAGUGGAAUUUAUUUUUGUCUUCAGUACCUUUCCAGAACAAAGUUUCUUCUAAUUCUAACAAUCUCUUUAUCACACUAGCAGGGACAAGGAAAAUAGACAUCAUAUUGGCAGGUAGUGCAUCUAGUAUAUUGUUUGCGAAAUUCAGUCUACCUCCCCUGUAUGAAUAUUGGUUUUUCCCGCUUGUUAACUACUACUCACAUUUUUCAAUGACCUCGUUCUAUAUCCUUAUGGACUUGGUGUUUGCUCCCAAUGGCAUGCCAAGAUAAGUUGUUGGAAGUUGCCCUACUAUCCCACCAAGCUUUGUUGCCAAACUGUCCAGUUCCAACACCUCAUUAUGGGGUAGAUGAAACUCUUACUCCAGUUGAUGAGGAGACAGGAAACUGCUUUAAAAAUUAUAAAUAUGGACCUCAGUAUCAAAAUGUUCUCUUCCAUUGCUUCAGAGAAAAUCAGUGUGUCAUCUGCAUAUUGCAGGUGAGUGAUUUCUACGAUGUUGUCAUCAUAGAAAAGGUUUUAGAAAGAUAAAUUUGGAUUCAGACUGGGAAGAGAUUCAAUAGGGAGUAUUAGCAGGCUCUAAUAUUUGGUUAGAUUAACUGAAUUUCUGCCAAUACCAUCUUCCACAUAGUCAGUUUCCAAUGUAAUUGUGUAGCUGUUUUAUUCAUCAUGAUUCUUUCGGUGUUAGUUGGACUUUCUCUUGUGAAGAUGAAAUUGUUCAUCAAACUCUUGCUGAAACCUUUCAGUUAUGUUAAUUGUUCUCUUUAUUCUCACUACAAGAUGGGAAUGUUCGAGCUGUGUUGCUUAAAAAUAUCAAUUACAGAAGCACUCAUAACAUGGAAAGACAAUAAUCUGCUUUAACAAAUCAACUGGCAUUCUGUAAUAUGAUUUCAGGUGAAUCGAAUUAGGGAACUGCCUCAGGAUAGCAACAUAGUGGCCACACACACGGACAGUCCUGAUGUAAGCAUCUGCUUCUAAAUAUUUCAAUUUCAUUUUGUAGCCCUAUCGUACACAUUUGUUUCCUCCCUGGUGGUUGUUGUUUCUUUUUGGAGUCCAUAUCAGUAGUUAGUUCCAUUGAAAUCUUUAAAGUGACCUUGGAAAUUUUUGGAAUCAGGUUCUUAUUUGGAAUGUUGAGUCUCAGCCUAAUCGUAAUGCUACCUUGGAAGUAAAUAAUUUUUCUCGACCAGACUUGGUGGGUUUUCUAAACAACAGAUUCAGUUUGUCAACUUUGUAUUCUUAUAAGUAGUAACUGAUAGUCCAUAUUUACUUGCAGGUGUUGACUGGACAUCAAGACAAUGCUGAAUUUGCGCUUGCAAUAGGCCAUUCUGAGCCUUUUGUGCUCUCUGGAGGUUGACCGACCUAUCAUUGAAUGUUAUCUUCUUUCAAGGAUUUUGUGAUUAAUUUUAUUCCAAUUAUCAGCUCAUUGUUAGCUGCACGCUAUUAACAGAUAAUGUAUUGUUUUAUAACUGGUAGCCAGUUGGUCAUACUUACGAUGCAAUCUUCAGAAAAUUUCUAUUUCUUUUUAACUGUUCCCCUUAAUGACAUGUUCUGAUCGUUGGUGGUGGGUGGUGGAAUAUGUUUUUUGCAGCUUAUUCCUUGGAUAGCAAUUUUCAGCUACCUGGGUAACCCAUAUUCGUUACAAAACAAUCCCUUAUUUUUUUACGCCUGAGCAGAUUUAGUGUUGUAUUGCUUCUGGCUAGGUAAAAUGGGACCAAUAUAAUGGACACCUUCAUCCCCAUAAUCGUUCAAAAAGUAACAAUACAUGCCACAACCUAAUUGACGCAAUUUCAAAUCAAGGUUUGAUGAAGAACAUCAUGCUAUGGCCUAAAGUUAAAUUAUUGAAUGAAUGUGCAGUUUCCGUAAUAUUUAAGAGUUAUAUGGUAUAUUCUGUUUCUAGAAGAGUGUCACAUGAACUGUGUUGAAGGGACUAUAGUCUCUUCCUUAAUGGAGAUCUGUAGUGACCUAGGGAAACUUUUGGAACACAUCAGAGUUCAGCCUCUUACUAUCGUUAAUGCCUACAGUCAGUUAUUAUUACCUCCUUUAGUUCUUACCUCAGAUAUGUGAACUUUUCCAAGCUUGUGUAUAAUAAAGCUAAUGCAAUCAUGGAUUCAUAUUUUCAGGGAAGGAUAAAUCGGUUGUUCUAUGGAGCAUUUGUGAUCACGUGUCUACUUUGGCAGCAGACCAGGGUGAUGCAAAGUCUCCUGGAUCUGGAGCAAGUAACCCGAAACCUUCUGCAGAAGGCCCUACUGUUCAAGCUCGAGGUAUUUUCCAAGGACAUGAUGAUACUGUAGAAGAUGUUCAGUUUUGCCCUUCCAGGUAGCUAUCACCUCUCCCACAUUGUAUAAGAUGUUGAGUUUAGUCCUUCAGUUUUUUUUUUAGGAGUUUGUGAUACUUGAUGUUGCUUGGGUUAAUAAACCUUCGUGUAACGUGAGCUUGACUGAAGAUGAGCUAAUACUCGUAUGAGCUGUCAUGUCACAUGUCAAACUUUUUUUUCUUCCGAAUCAUGUCUUAGAAAUCUCAACCUUAAGCCAUUCUAUUCCUCUUUUCCUCUUUUUUGCCUGGAUGAAGUAGUUUACUUACCACUUUUCAAAUAAAAGAUAAAGGGAAAAAGUUGAAGAAGACAGAAGAAAGGCAAUUUAUUCAUCGCUUAUCCUGGC